AAGCUCUCUCCAGCAGCCGAGCAAGAUGCCCAAAGGGAAGAAGGCCAAGGGGAAGAAGGUGGCCCCGGCCCCCGCCGUCGUCAAGAAGCAGGAGGCCAAGAAGGUGGUCAACCCUCUGUUCGAGAAGAGGCCCAAGAACUUCGGCAUUGGACAGGACAUCCAGCCCAAANGAGAUUUAACGCGCUUCGUCAAAUGGCCCCGCUACAUCAGGCUGCAGCGGCAAAGAGCCAUCCUCUACAAGCGGCUCAAAGUCCCUCCUGCCAUUAACCAGUUCACCCAGGCGCUGGACAGGCAGACAGCUACUCAGCUGCUUAAGCUUGCCCACAAGUACAGGCCAGAGACAAAGCAAGAGAAGAAGCAAAGGCUACUGGCCCGUGCCGAGAAGAAAGCUGCUGGCAAAGGCGACGUCCCAACUAAGAGACCACCUGUCCUCCGAGCAGGAGUCAAUACAGUCACCACCUUGGUGGAGAACAAGAAGGCUCAGCUGGUGGUGAUUGCCCAUGACGUAGACCCCAUUGAGCUGGUGGUUUUCCUACCUGCCCUGUGUCGAAAGAUGGGGGUGCCCUACUGCAUCAUCAAGGGAAAGGCCAGGCUGGGGCACCUGGUCCACAGGAAGACAUGCACCACUGUUGCCUUCACACAGGUUAACUCGGAAGACAAGGGUGCUCUGGCUAAGCUGGUGGAAGCUAUUAGGACCAAUUAUAAUGACAGAUAUGAUGAGAUCCGUCGCCACUGGGGAGGCAACGUCCUGGGUCCUAAGUCUGUGGCUCACAUUGCCAAGCUGGAAAAAGCAAAGGCUAAAGAACUCACCACUAAAUUGGGUUAAAUGUACACUAAAUUUUCUGUACCUAAAUAUAAUUACAAAACUAU